rnacentral:rRNA from 1 species
UUAAGCAUAUCAAUAAGCGGAGGAAAAGAAACUAACAAGGAUUCCCCUAGUAGCGGCGAGCGAAGCGGGAAGAGCUCAAAUUUAUAAUCUGGCACCUUCGGUGUCCGAGUUGUAAUCUCUAGAAAUGUUUUCCGCGUUGGACCGCACACAAGUCUGUUGGAAUACAGCGGCAUAGUGGUGAGACCCCCGUAUAUGGUGCGGACGCCCAGCGCUUUGUGAUACAUUUUCGAAGAGUCGAGUUGUUUGGGAAUGCAGCUCAAAUUGGGUGGUAAAUUCCAUCUAAAGCUAAAUAUUGGCGAGAGACCGAUAGCGAACAAGUACCGUGAGGGAAAGAUGAAAAGCACUUUGGAAAGAGAGUUAACAGUACGUGAAAUUGUUGGAAGGGAAACGCUUGAAGUCAGACUUGCUUGCCGAGCAAUCGGUUUGCAGGCCAGCAUCAGUUUUCCGGGAUGGAUAAUGGUAGAGAGAAGGUAGCAGUUUCGGCUGUGUUAUAGCUCUCUGCUGGAUACAUCUUGGGGGACUGAGGAACGCAGUGUGCCUUUGGCGGGGGUUUCGACCUCUUCACACUUAGGAUGCUGGUGGAAUGGCUUUAAACGACCCG